rnacentral:rRNA from 1 species
AAACUUAAAGGAAUUGACGGGGGCCCGCACAAGCGGAGGAGCAUGUGGUUUAAUUCGAUGAUACGCGAGGAACCUUACCUGGGCUAGAACGUAGAAUGACUAUAGGUGAAAGCUUAUAUCCCUUCGGGGCAGUCUACGAGGUGCUGCAUGGUUGUCGUCAGCUCGUGCCGUGAGGUGUCGGGUUAAGUCCCAUAACGAGCGCAACCCCUAUCUUUAGUUGCCAACAGGUCAAGCUGGGGACUCUAAAGAAACUGCCUACGCAAGUAGUGAGGAAGGCGGGGAUGACGUCAAAUCAGCACGGCCCUUACGUCCAGGGCUACACACGUGCUACAAUGGCCGAUACAGAGGGCAGCUACCAGGUGACUGGAUGCAAAUCUCCAAAGUCGGUCUCAGUUCGGAUCGGAGUCUGCAACCCGACUCCGUGAAGUUGGAUUCGCUAGUAAUCGCGCAUCAGCCAUGGCGCGGUGAAUACGUUCCCGGGCCUUGUACACACCGCCCGUCAAGCCAUGGAAGCUGGGGGGACCUAAAGUCGAUAACCGUAAGGAGUCGCCUAGGGUAAAACCAGUGACUGGGGCUAAGUCGUAACAAGGUAGCCGUACCGGAAGGUGUGGCUGGAAUACCUCCU